AAAUUGAAGAGUUUGAUCAUGGCUCAGAUUGAACGCUGGCGGCAGGCCUAACACAUGCAAGUCGAACGGUAACAGGAAGCAGCUUGCUGCUUUGCUGACGAGUGGCGGACGGGUGAGUAAUGUCUGGGAAACUGCCUGAUGGAGGGGGAUAACUACUGGAAACGGUAGCUAAUACCGCAUAACGUCGCAAGACCAAAGAGGGGGACCUUCGGGCCUCUUGCCAUCGGAUGUGCCCAGAUGGGAUUAGCUAGUUGGUGGGGUAACGGCUCACCAAGGCGACGAUCCCUAGCUGGUCUGAGAGGAUGACCAGCCACACUGGAACUGAGACACGGUCCAGACUCCUACGGGAGGCAGCAGUGGGGAAUAUUGCACAAUGGGCGCAAGCCUGAUGCAGCCAUGCCGCGUGUAUGAAGAAGGCCUUCGGGUUGUAAAGUACUUUCAGCGGGGAGGAAGGGAGUAAAGUUAAUACCUUUACUCAUUGACGUUACCCGCAGAAGAAGCACCGGCUAACUCCGUGCCAGCAGCCGCGGUAAUACGGAGGGUGCAAGCGUUAAUCGGAAUUACUGGGCGUAAAGCGCACGCAGGCGGUUUGUUAAGUCAGAUGUGAAAUCCCCGGGCUCAAC
rnacentral:rRNA from 1 species